UACAGAGGGUGCGAGCGUUAAUCGGAAUUACUGGGCGUAAAGCGUGCGUAGAUGGUUAUGUAAGUCGGAUGUGGAAGCCCAGGGCUCAACCUUGGAAUUGCAUUCGAGACUGCAUAGCUAGGAUGCGGAAGAGGGAAGCGGAAUUUCCGGUGUAGCGGUGAAAUGCGUAGAUAUCGGAAGGAACACCAGUGGCGAAAGCGGCUUCCUGGUCCAGCAUCGACGUUCAGGCACGAAAGCGUGGGGAGCAAACAGG
rnacentral:rRNA from 1 species